rnacentral:rRNA from 1 species
CCUACGGGAGGCAGCAGUGGGGAAUAUUGGGCAAUGGACGCAAGUCUGACCCAGCAACGCCGCGUGAAGGAAGAAGGCUUUCGGGAUGUAAACUUCUUUUAAGGGGGAAGAGCAGAAGACGGUACCCCUUGAAUAAGCCACGGCUAACUACGUGCCAGCAGCCGCGGUAAUACGUAGGUGGCAAGCGUUGUCCGGAUUUAGUGGGUGUAAAGGGCGUGCAGCCGGAGAGACAAGUCAGAUGUGAAAGCCACGGGCUCAACCCGUGAACUGCAUUUGAAACUGUUUCGCUUGAGUGUCGGAGAGGUAAGCGGAAUUCCUGGUGUAGCGGUGAAAUGCGUAGAUAUAAGGAAGAACACCAGUGGCGAAGGCGGAUUACUGGACGAUAACUGACGGUGAGGCGCGAAAGCGUGGGGAGCAAACAGGAUUAGAUACCCGUGUAGUC